CCUACGGGAGGCAGCAGUGGGGAAUAUUGCGCAAUGGGCGAAAGCCUGACGCAGCGACGCCGCGUGGGGGAUGACGGCCUUCGGGUUGUAAACCUCUUUCAGCAGGGACGAAGCGCAAGUGACGGUACCUGCAGAAGAAGCACCGGCCAACUACGUGCCAGCAGCCGCGGUAAUACGUAGGGUGCAAGCGUUGUCCGGAAUUAUUGGGCGUAAAGAGCUCGUAGGCGGUUCGUCGCGUCGGCUGUGAAAUCCCGAGGCUCAACCUCGGGUCUGCAGUCGAUACGGGCGGACUGGAGUUCGGCAGGGGAGACUGGAAUUCCUGGUGUAGCGGUGAAAUGCGCAGAUAUCAGGAGGAACACCGGUGGCGAAGGCGGGUCUCUGGGCCGAUACUGACGCUGAGGAGCGAAAGCGUGGGGAGCGAACAGGAUUAGAUACCCUAG
rnacentral:rRNA from 1 species